rnacentral:rRNA from 1 species
CCUACGGGAGGCAGCAGUGAGGAAUAUUGGUCAAUGGACGAGAGUCUGAACCAGCCAAGUAGCGUGAAGGAUGACUGCCCUAUGGGUUGUAAACUUCUUUUAUAAAGGAAUAAAACGAGGCACGUGUGCCUUUUUGCAUGUACUUUAUGAAUAAGGAUCGGCUAACUCCGUGCCAGCAGCCGCGGUAAUACGGAGGAUCCGAGCGUUAUCCGGAUUUCUUGGGUUUAAAGGGAGCGUAGAUGGGUUGUUAAGUCAGUUGUGAAAGUUUUCGGCUCAACCGUAAAAGUGCAAUUGAUACUGGCAGUCUUGAGUACAGUUGAGGUAGGCGGAAUUCGUGGUGUAGCGGUGAAAUGCUUAGAUAUCACGAAGAACCCCGAUUGCGAAGGCAGCUUACUAAACUGUGACUGACAUUGAUGCUCGAAAGUGUGGGUAUCAAACAGGAUUAGAUACCCCGGUAGUC